rnacentral:rRNA from 1 species
GAUGAACGCUGGCGGCGUGCCUAAUACAUGCAAGUCGAGCGAACGGACGAGAAGCUUGCUUUUCUGAUGUUAGCGGCGGACGGGUGAGUAACACGUGGAUAACCUACCUAUAAGACUGGGAUAACUUCGGGAAACCGGAGCUAAUACCGGAUAAUAUUUUGAACCGCAUGGUUCAAAAGUGAAAGACGGUCUUGCUGUCACUUAUAGAUGGAUCCGCGCUGCAUUAGCUAGUUGGUAAGGUAACGGCUUACCAAGGCAACGAUGCAUAGCCGACCUGAGAGGGGGCCAGGGCACCUGGGAAGGGGCACACGGUCCAGACCCCUACGGGUGGCUGCAGUCGGGAACUUGCCGCAAUGGUCGAAGACCUGACGCAGCACCGCCGCGUGCGGGAGGAAGGGCUUCGGCUCGUAAAACUCUGUUAUUAGGGAAGAACAUAUGUGUACGUAACUGUGCACAUCUUGACGGUACCUAAUCAGAAAGCCACGGCUAACUACGUG